rnacentral:rRNA from 1 species
UACGUAGGGUGCGAGCGUUAAUCGGAAUUACUGGGCGUAAAGCGUGCGCAGGCGGUUGUGCAAGACCGAUGUGAAAUCCCCGGGCUUAACCUGGGAAUGGCGUUGGUGACUGCACGGCUAGAGUGUGUCAGAGGGGGGUAGAAUUCCACGUGUAGCAGUGAAAUGCGUAGAGAUGUGGAGGAAUACCGAUGGCGAAGGCAGCCCCCUGGGAUAACACUGACGCUCAUGCACGAAAGCGUGGGGAGCAAACAGG